AAGUCGUAACAAGGUUUCCGUAGGUGAACCUGCGGAAGGAUCAUUAUCGAGAGAGGGGCUUCGCGCUCCCGGGGGGGUUUUCGGCCCCCCAGCUCUUCACCCCAUUGUCAAUUUACCCCUUGUUGCUUUGGCGGAUUCCGGGGUAUGUCUUGCGUAGGUUUGUCAUAAACCCGUGCGAAGAUGCUGCCCCGCGCCGCCGAAGCCAUUAAAUUGUUUAUCAGUGAUGUCCGAGUAAAAAACCAAUAAUAAAA
rnacentral:misc_RNA from 1 species